UUACGGCCAUAUCACAUUGGAACAUCGGUUCCCGUACGAUCAUCUAAAUUAAGCAAUGGUGAUCCUGGUCAGUACCUAGAUGGGUGACCGUUUGAGAAUAUCAGAGACUGCAAU